UGCAAGGAAAGACUAAGAGAUUUUACAUCUAAGCUGCAUUUGGAUUCUAACCUUUUGGGGUGAUUCCAGAGAGAUUUUUGCAAGCCAACAGAUUCAUCCAUCACUGCUACAAAUCUGAUCUUCGCCUACCCCUCGAUGUGAGGAUGAUGUCUGCCAAGGGGGUUCAUUGCGAUGAAGCCAUACUCCUUCUAUUCUUCUACAAGUCCCAGAGAACUGUAGAGAAAAAGUAAGGCGUUCAAAGAAGAGCAAAGGAUGAUGUUUACCUGUGUGUUUGUACAGCACCUAGCACAACAGAGCCCUGAUCCUGAUCAAGACUAUGGCUAUCUCAACAGUAAAUCAUGGAUUCAAUUUAUUUCCACUGUCUCUUCUCUAAUUCUAUUGGC